UACGUAGGGGGCAAGCGUUAUCCGGAAUUACUGGGUGUAAAGGGAGCGUAGGCGGCAUGGUAAGCCAGAUGUGAAAGCCCGGGGCUUAACUCCGAGGAUUGCAUUUGGAACUAUCAAGCUAGAGUACAGGAGAGGAAAGCGGAAUUCCUAGUGUAGCGGUGAAAUGCGUAGAUAUUAGGAAGAACACCAGUGGCGAAGGCGGCUUUCUGGACUGAAACUGACGCUCAGGCUCGAAAGCGUGGGGAGCAAACAGG
rnacentral:rRNA from 2 species